rnacentral:rRNA from 1 species
UACAGAGGGUGCGAGCGUUAUUCGGAAUUACUGGGCGUAAAGCGUGCGUAGGCGGUUAUUUAAGUCGGGUGUGAAAGCCCUCGGCUCAACCGAGGAAGUGCGCCCGAAACUGCAGAGCUUGAGUACCGGAGAGGAUGGCGGAAUUCCCCAAGUAGAGGUGAAAUUCGUAGAUAUGGGGAGGAACACCGGUGGCGAAGGCGGCCAUCUGGACGGAUACUGACGCUGAGACGCGAAAGCGUGGGGAGCAAACAGG